GUGGGGAAUAUUGGACAAUGGGCGAAAGCCUGAUCCAGCAAUGCCGCGUGAGUGAUGAAGGCCUUAGGGUUGUAAAGCUCUUUUACCCGGGAAGAUAAUGACUGUACCGGGAGAAUAAGCCCCGGCUAACUCCGUGCCAGCAGCCGCGGUAAUACGGAGGGGGCUAGCGUUGUUCGGAAUUACUGGGCGUAAAGCGCACGUAGGCGGUUUUGUAAGUUAGAGGUGAAAGCCUGGGGCUCAACCCCAGAAUUGCCUUUAAGACUGCAUCACUUGAACGUCGGAGAGGUGAGUGGAAGUCCGAGUGUAGAGGUGAAAUUCGUAGAUAUUCGGAAGAACACCAGUGGCGAAGGCGGCUCACUGGACGACUGUUGACGCUGAGGUGCGAAAGCGUGGGGAGCAAACAGGAUUAGAAACCCUGGUAGUCC
rnacentral:rRNA from 1 species